AACAGGAUUAGAUACCCUGGUAGUCCACGCUGUAAACGAUGUCGACUUGGAGGUUGCGCCCUUGAGGCGUGGCUUCCGGAGCUAACGCGUUAAGUCGACCGCCUGGGGAGUACGGCCGCAAGGUUAAAACUCAAAUGAAUUGACGGGGGCCCGCACAAGCGGUGGAGCAUGUGGUUUAAUUCGAUGCAACGCGAAGAACCUUACCUACUCUUGACAUCCAGAGAAUUCGCUAGAGAUAGCUUAGUGCCUUCGGGAACUCUGAGACAGGUGCUGCAUGGCUGUCGUCAGCUCGUGUUGUGAAAUGUUGGGUUAAGUCCCGCAACGAGCGCAACCCUUAUCCUUUGUUGCCAGCGCGUAAUGGCGGGAACUCAAAGGAGACUGCCGGUGAUAAACCGGAGGAAGGUGGGGAUGACGUCAAGUCGUCAUGGCCCUUACGAGUAGGGCUACACACGUGCUACAAUGGCGUAUACAAAGAGAAGCGAACUCGCGAGAGCAAGCGGACCUCAUAAAGUACGUCGUAGUCCGGAUCGGAGUCCGCAACUCGACUCCGUGAAGUCGGAAUCGCUAGUAAUCGUAGAUCAGAAUGCUACGGUGAAUACGUUCCCGGGCCUUGUACUCACCGCCCGUCACACCAUGGGAGUGGGUUGCAAAAGAAGUAGGUAGCUUAACCUUCGGGAGGGCGCUUACCACUUUGUGAUUCAUGACUGGGGUGAAGUCGUAACAAGGUAACC
rnacentral:rRNA from 1 species